rnacentral:rRNA from 1 species
UGGCCUACUAGCUAGCUCGCACUCAAAAUGCAAUGACAGAUUAUAAAUAACCCCUAAUACACCUUGAAUUCUCAAGACCAAACCAUUUUUCCCCCCAAGUAUGGGCGACAGAAAAGGAUAAGUUGAAGCAACAGCACCAGUACCGCAAGGGAACGCUGAAAGAGAAAUGAAACAAAUCAGUGAAGCCUAAAAAAGCAGAGUUUCACCCUCGUACCUUUUGCAUCAUGAUUUAGCAAGAAAACAUCAAGCAAAGAGCAUUUUAGUUUGACUCCCCGAAACCAAGUGAGCUACUCCAAGACAGCCUCCAAGGGCGCACCCGUCUCUGUGGCAAAAGAGUGGGAAGAUCAUUGAGUAGAGGUGACAGACCUACCGAACCUGGUUAUAGCUGGUUGCUCGGGAAAUGAAUAGGAGUUCAGCCUUUUGCCCCCUUUACUCAUAAACUGGCUACACUUCCAAGCACCAAAGUGGGACAAAAGAGUUAGUCAAAGGGGGUACAGCCCCUUUGAAUAAAGAUACAACUUUUCCAGAAGGGUUAAGAUCAUAACAGCAAGUAAGGGAAUGUGUUCUAGUUGGCCUAAGAGCAGCCACCCACACAGAAAGCGUUAAAGCUCAGACACCCCUCCACCCCUAUUAUCCGGACCACAUAAAUCUUACCCCCCUAAUCAUACCGAGCCUCCCCAUACCAAUAUGGGAGAGACUAUGCUAAUAUGAGUAAUAAGAGACCUAGAAUCUCUCCCAGCGCAAGUGUUCAUCGGAACGAACUGACACCGAAAAUUAACGGCCCCAAAAGAGGGUAUUGAAAUAUUAUAGCCAGACUACUAGGAGAGCAUCCAUACUCCCACCGUUGACCUUACACCAGAGCGCAUGCAAGGAAAGACUAAAAGAAAAAGAAGGAACUCGGCA